AGGUGGCGUCACUGAGAAUAGCAAUGAUCAGAUUCGUGAUUCCGUGGUAGAGAUUAAGAAAAUACGGGAUUCUAUUCUUCGUAAGGAAUUCAUACUUCAAGAUGGAAGUGCUCAAUGUGAUAUGGACAUUCAUAAAAUUAAGAUGGACAUUCAGAAAAUUAAGACUGAAAAGAAGAUGACAAAAGAAGUGUUGUCAACAAUGGAGAAAUAUAAGGAACCUAGCUCAAAUAUAAUGAAAGUUGCCAAUCUAAUUUUCUCUGGCGAUGAUGGGAAAACCAAGAGCACUAAUAGAAUGGAAUUGAAAUUUAAGGAGGCAC